GAUGAACGCUGGCGGCGUGCCUAAUACAUGCAAGUCGAGCGGCAGCACGGUCUUCGGACUGGUGGCGAGCGGCGGACGGCUGAGUAACGCGUAGGAAUAUACCCAAAGUGAGGGAUAACUGCCCGAAAGGGUGGCUAAUACCGCAUGUGGUCUUCGGACUAAAGCCUUCGGGCGCUUUGGGAAUAGCCUGCGUAAGAUUAGCUAGUUGGUGAGGUAAUGGCUCACCAAGGCGACGAUCUUUAGCUGGUCUGAGAGGAUGACCAGCCAGACUGGAACUGAGACACGGUCCAGACUCCUACGGGAGGCAGCAGUAGGGAAUUUUCCACAAUGGGCGAAAGCCUGAUGGAGCAACGCCGCGUGCAGGAUGAAGGCCCUCGGGUCGUAAACUGCUUUUAUGUGCGAAGAAUAUGACGGUAACACAUGAAUAAGGGUCGGCUAACUACGUGCC
rnacentral:rRNA from 1 species